rnacentral:rRNA from 1 species
ACGGUAUGUCAGAGUUUGAUCCUGGCUCAGGAUAAACGCUGACAGAAUGCUUAACACAUGCAAGUCAAUGAUGGGAAGCUAAGCCUAGCUUAGAAGAAGUCAUGGCGGACGGGUGAGUAACGUGUAAGAACUUGCCCUCUAGACUGGGAUAACAGAUAGAAAUGUCUGAUAAUACCGGAUAUUAUGGUUUUUUCGUCAUGGAGGAAUCAUGAAAGCUAGAUGCGCUAAGAGAGAGCUUUGCGUCCCAUUAGCUAGUUGGUGAGGUAACGGCCCACCAAGGCAAUGAUGGGUAGCCGGCCUGAGAGGGUGAACGGCCACAAGGGGACUGAGACACGGCCCUU